GACGAACCGUGCAAACGUUAUUCGGAAUCACUGAGCUUAAAGGGCGCGUAGGCGGGCGGUCAAGUCAGGGGUGAAAGCCCCCGGCUCAACCGGGGAAUUGCGUUCGAUACUGGCAGGCUCGAGAACGGUUGGGGUGAGUGGAACUCCAGGUGGAGCGGUGAAAUGCGUAGAUAUCUGGAGGAACACCGGUGGCGAAAGCGGCUCACUGGACCGUAACUGACGCUGAUGCGCGAAAGCUAGGGGAGCAAACGGG
rnacentral:rRNA from 1 species